GGGGGCUUAGCUCAGCUGGGAGAGCGUUUGGCUGGCAGCCAAAAGGUCGUCGGUUCGAGCCCGAUAGUCUCCA
rnacentral:tRNA from 10 species